rnacentral:rRNA from 1 species
GAUGAACGCUGGCGGCGUGCCUAAUACAUGCAAGUCGAGCGAACAGACGCGGCGCUUGCUCCUCUGACGUUAGCGGCGGACGGGUGAGUAACACGUGGAUAACCUCCCUAUCAGACUGGGAUAACUUCGGGACACCGGCGCUAAUACCGGAUAAUAUCUUGCACCGCAUGGUUCAUUAGUGAAAGACGGUUUUGCUGUCACUUCUAGCUGGAUCCGCGCCGCAUUAGCUGGUUGGUACGGUAACGGCUUACCACGGCAACGAUGCGUAGACGACCGGAGAGGGGGAUCGGCCACACGGGAACGGAGACGCGGACCAGACUCCUGCGGGAGGCAGCAGAAGGGAAUCUUACGCAGUAGGCGAAAACCUGACGGAGCGAGGCCGCGUGUGUGAUGAAGGUCUUCGGAUCGUAAAACUCUGUUAUGAGGGAAAAACAGAUGUGUAAUGAACUAUGCACGGCGUGACGGUACCUAGUCAGAAAGCCACGGCUAACUACGUG